GAGGGGUAUAUAUAGGAUCCUCAUCAUGGACCAAGAAGUAUGAGAAAGUUGGAAUCUUGGAAGCUGAGGAGUUUACCAAUUUAAGAUACCAAAAGUAUGAAACCUGAAAUCUUGCAUCUUUUCAUUUUCUUCAGUACCCUUCUCUUGUUUGCCAAAGUGAAUUAUGCAAGACAAGAACCAGGGGUGUAUUGGAAGAGCAUAAUGAAGGAAGAACCAAUACCAGAAGCAAUCAGCAAACUUUUUCUUUCUGAUGAUUCGAUUUCUGGAAGGAGCAAAUCGGAUCGAUUUGUGACGGAUUUCGACAUUAGACAUAGCGUGAUUAUAUAUCACAAUCACUUGGACCAUAAAGAUCAGCAGAAGAAGGAUUUUGUAGAAGACAUGAUGAAGCCAAGAUAUGAUGAACAAUAUGAACAAAAAGUUAAAGAACACUGUACAACUAGACAAAGCAAGAAGUAUCAUGUAGGAGUUAGGACUCAUGUUUAAUAUAUAAUAUCAGACUGUGAUACUUUUGCUAAUUACUUCUAA